AAGAGCUGACAGCAGCGAUACAUGCUAGUCGAGCGGCAGCGAAAGUAGCUUGCUUUCUUGUCGGCGAGCGGCAAACGGGUGAGUAAUAUCUGGGAAUCUACCCAAAAGAGGGGGAUAACUACUAGAAAUGGUAGCUAAUACCGCAUAAAGUUGAGAAACCAAAGUGGGGGACCUUUUAGGCCUCAUGCUUUUGGAUGAGCCCAGACGAGAUUAGCUUGUUGGUAAGGUAAAAGCUUACCAAGGCUUCGAUCUCUAGCUGGUCUGAGAGGAUAACCAGCCACACUGGAACUGAGACACGGUCCAGACUCCUACGGGAGGCAGCAGUGGGGAAUAUUGCACAAUGGGCGAAAGCCUGAUGCAGCUAUGCCGCGUGUAUGAAGAAGGCCUUAGGGUUGUAAAGUACUUUCAGCGGGGAGGAAAAAGGUAAAAUUAAUAAUUUUACUUCUUGACGUUACCCGAAUAAGAAGCACCGGCUAACUCCGUGCCAGCAGCCGCGGUAAUACGGAGGGUGCUAGCGUUAAUCAGAAUUACUGGGCGUAAAGAGCACGUAGGUGGUUUUUUAAGUCAGAUGUGAAAGCCCUGGGCUCAACCUAGGAAAUGCAUUUGAAACUGAAAUGCUAGAGUAUCGUAGAGGGAGGUAGAAUUCUAGGUGUAGCGGUGAAAUGCGUAGAUAUCUGGAGGAAUACCCGUGGCGAAAGCGGCCUCCUAAACGAAUACUGACACUGAGGUGCGAAAGCGUGGGGAGCUAACAGGAUUAGAUACCCUGGUAGUCCACGCCGUAAACGAUGUCGACUUGGAGGUUGUUUCCAAGAGAAGUGACUUCCGAAGCUAACGCGUUAAGUCGACCGCCUGGGGAGUACGGCCGCAAGGCUAAAACUCAGAUGAAUUGACUGGGGCUCGCACAAGCGGUGGAGCAUGUGGUUUAAUUCGAUGGCCACGCGAAAACCUUACCUGGUCUUGACAUCCACAGAAGUUUUCUAGAAUAAGAAAGUGCCUUUCGGAACUGUGAGACAGGUGCUGCAUGGCUGUCGUCAGCUCGUGUUGUGACAUGUUGGGAUAAGUCCCGCAACGAGCGCACCCUUAUUCCCUUGUGCA
rnacentral:rRNA from 2 species